rnacentral:rRNA from 1 species
UGUGCAGGCGGGACGCCAAGUGGUGUAUGAAAGCGGUCGGCUCAACCCGGCCCGGGUUAUGCCAGACUGGCGUUCUGGAGUGCGAGAGAGGGGCGUGGAAUUCCGGGUGUAGUGGUGAAAUGCGUAGAGAUCCGGAGGAACCCCAGAGGCGAAGGCGGCGCCCUGGCUCGCAACUGACGCUCAGACACGACAGCAUGGGGAGCGAACG